GCGGCGUGCUCAGUUUUGUAUGCGAUUGGUAAGCACAUGUCAUUGGUUACAAUAAGUGCAAAACAUACGUCAGAGAGUAUUGUUCUGAUAAAAUACCAAAUGGCUAGAUGCAGAAUAUCAGAGAGUAAAGUGGCCUUCGAAUCAAACAAUCUUUUUCAUGAGAUCCUCGUUGUAUACAUCAUCAUCAUGGUAGUACAAAUCACACCAGCUAUCCACACUUCAUAGUUGCAUGGUCGAUCUCGUUGACUACUUGCCGGGGACGAAGUUGGUGGCGAAGGCCCACGCAUUGUUGUUGACAGGGUCAGCAAGGUGGUCGGCGAGGUUCUCAAGUGGGCCCUUGCCGGUGACAAUGGCCUGUACAAAGAAGCCGAACAUGGAGAACAUGGCGAGACGGCCAUUCUUGAUCUCCUUCACCUUGAGCUCUGCGAAUGCCUCGGGGUCGUCGGCAAGGCCGAGUGGGUCAAAGCUGCCGCCGGGGUAGAGAGGGUCAACGAUCUCGCCGAGCGGGCCACUGGCAACACGGUAUCCCUCGACGGCGCCCAUGAGAACGACCUGGCAGGCCCAAAUGGCGAGGAUGCUCUGGGCAUGGACGAGGCUCGGGUUGCCGAGGUAGUCAAGGCCCCCCCUCAGUGAAGAUCUGAGAGCCGGCCUUGAACCAGACGGCCUCGCCGAACUGAACACCAUUGCGGGCGAGAAGCUCAGGGAAGACGCAACCGAGCGCGCCAAGCAUGGCCCAACGACAGUGGAUCACCUCAAGCUCGCGGUUCUUGGCAAAGGUCUCGGGGUCCGCUGAGAGCCCGGCGGUGUCCCACCCAUAGUCGCCGGGAAACUCACCGGUUAGGUAACUCGGGGGCUCGCCAGAGAGCGGGCCGAGGUACAGCACACGGUCGGAGCCGUACCACGGGCUGCUCGAGGAGAUUGGCUUGGCCUUGGCGGCGGUCUUGCGCAUGGUGCCCCGGCCUCACCGAAGAGAGUCGAUGACGGCAUGUUCUUCACCGUCUUGCCAGCGAAGGCCGAAGAAGAGAGAGACAUGGUAGUGGCUGCCAUUGCGCUAGCUCUUAAAACGGUGGUGGUCGAACUCUAUGCUUCUAAUAGUAUUCUGUGAGUGUGAAGGACUGAAGAUGGAUUCAGAAGGGAGGAGGAGGGAGCUACUUAAAGAAGUGAGAAGAGAAGACAGAGGGAAUUGAUCUGUGCUGGCAAGAGAGACACAGCCUGAGAAAUCUGAUGCCACCAUCUCAUUGGUGCAGCGGCCAUCCGGGUACAGUUGGCGCAGGGACAUCCUCAAGGGGAUGGGAUAUAGUCGUGGGUAGGGCUUGGGGAUUCUGCAUGUGCACUACAAUUUGUUGUACAACUAAUAAGUUAUUGAGUUUAAUCAGUUAUUGAGGAUUCUGCAUGUGCACUUACAAUUUGUUGUACAACUAAUAAGUGUUAAUUUGCUUCCUCCGAAGGUAAUAGUCAAAAGAAGUUUUUUGUUGGUAAACUGAUAGUAAACAUGCUCGAUCAACAUGUAUUGUCCACAUAUGGAGUUAAAAAUGAAUUAGCCAGUCGUGGGGCCAUAAUUUAGCCUUUGCUCAUGUACAUAGUAACUUUAUAUAAUCCGUGCUUUUAUAGUAUUGACCGUGACGGGGUGAAACCAGAUGGCACGAUCCACCUGUAAGAACAAAAGGAUUCGGGUUAAAAGCUUUAGUGGGAUCAUUAGUGACUGAACUUUUGCUAAAUGGGGUCAAAAAAGAAAUCACACUAAAUGAAACCAAAGCUGUAAGAAACAUAAAUUGAGGGGUCAAAAAAUAGAAUUCACUCUUUUAUGAACGUGUGAGGAAAGAAAUUAUUUCAUAAUUAAUGAAAAUAAAAGUCAGCGGAAUGGGGAACAUUGUUACGCGAGGUUAUUGGGUUUGAGUAAUUUAGAUGAUUGUUUUUAAUCUUUGCUUGUAUAAUAAAAACAUCAUUUUUAUUUUGGCGUGCAGAAAAGAUGACAGAUAGAUCUUGUGAUCACAGAUAUGAUGCUCUAAUUGUUGCCUCUGAGUUUCUGUAUUCUAUAUCCGGGAAGCAGCCCCAUGCGUGCCCUGCAAAAUUAGUAUGACUAAGAUUGUUAUUUUUGUAUAUACUUCCUUGUUAAUUGGGAUCUUUCUUAUCGACCAAAUCACCUAAUCCCAUCAAAAUUCUUUUAUGUCCUUUUCAUUGGCCUGGGUAUUUCUAGAUUUUGUAGUUAGUUCUGGAAUAUCCAUCCCUGAAAAAGGAAUGCGGUACACGUCAUUUUUACGGUAAGUUUGUUCACUUCCACGAGAGUAUGUAUUGCUCUGAUAAAACAUUGGGGGACAUCACAAAGUGUCUACUUCAAAAUCUGACAAUCUUUUGUUCAUAAGAUCCUCGUAAUUAAUUUACAUCAUCAUCGUGGUAGUACAAGUGAAACCAGCUACACACACUUGGUCGCGAGCAUAGUCGAUUUGCAUAUACACAUGUGCCUCUCAUUGACACCUUACUUGCCGGGAACGAAGUUGGUGGCAAAGGCCCACGCGUUGUUGUUGACGGGGUCGGCAAGGUGGUCAGCGAGGUUCUCAAGGGGACCCUUGCCGGUGACGAUGGCCUGAACGAAGAAGCCGAACAUGGAGAACAUGGCGAGGCGGCCGUUCUUGAUCUCCUUCACCUUGAGCUCAGCGAACGCCUCAGGGUCGUCAGCCAAGCCAAGGGGGUCGAAGCUGCCGCCGGGGUAGAGAGGGUCGACGAUCUCACCGAGCGGACCACCAGCAACACGGUACCCCUCGACGGCGCCCAUGAGCACGACCUGGCAAGCCCAGAUGGCGAGGAUGCUCUGGGCAUGGACGAGGCUCGGGUUGCCAAGGUAGUCGAGGCCGCCCUCGCUGAAGAUCUGGGAGCCGGCCUUGAACCAGACGGCCUCGCCAAACUUGACGCCGUUGCGGGCAAGCAGCUCGGGGAAGACGCAACCGAGCGCGCCGAGCAUGGCCCACCUGCAGUGGAUCACCUCCAGCUCCCGGUUCUUGGCGAAGGUCUCGGGGUCAGCCGAGAGCCCGGCGGUGUCCCACCCGUAAUCGCCGGGGAACUCACCGGUCAGGUAGCUCGGGGGUUCGCCGGAGAGCGGGCCGAGGUACAACACGCGGUCGGAGCCGUACCACGGGCUGCCUGAGGAGACCGGCUUGGCCUUGGCAACGGUCUUGCGCAUGGUGAUGCGGGCCUCUCCGAGCGCCGGCAGGUUCUUCACCGCCUUCCCGGCGAAGGUCGAGGAGGAGAGGGCCAUGGUGGCGGUCGCCAUUGAUGUACUGCUGUACCGUGCUCUCCUAAGAGUGUGAGGCUGGCUCUGGUGUGCGUGGAGAUGGUUUGAGAUGGGCAGAGGAGGUAGCUAUUUAACGGUGCUCUGUGGGUACAGAGAAGGGAAGAUGAUGAGAGAGAUGGCUAGAAAAAUCUGAAGCUGGGAUGCCAUUGGUGGAGUGGAGAUAUCGGCACAGUUGGCGCAGCGAGAGCCUCAAGCCGGUGGAGAUAGCUCAGACUUGCCAUGUGGAGAGGGGCUAUUGGGUGCCGUUGAUUUUCUCGUGGCUGAGGAUAUUGAUGUCGCUGAUAUUUUUUACUCGGACUGGAAGUUGCUGUUUUAGCCGUCAGAAGCUGUUAAAAAACGGAAACGUCGUGAAGGGGAUUGAUCGCCUCGUCUUGUGUCGUGUAUGUUUAGCAGUUGUUGUU
rnacentral:lncRNA from 1 species